UACGUAGGGUGCAAGCGUUGUCCGGAAUUAUUGGGCGUAAAGAGCUCGUAGGCGGUCUGUCACGUCGGCUGUGAAAACCCGAGGCUCAACCUCGGGCCUGCAGUCGAUACGGGCAAACUAGAGUACUGCAGGGGAGACUGGAAUUCCUGGUGUAGCGGUGAAAUGCGCAGAUAUCAGGAGGAACACCGAUGGCGAAGGCAGAUCUCUGGGCCGUUACUGACGCUGAGGAGCGAAAGCGUGGGGAGCGAACAGG
rnacentral:rRNA from 1 species